ensembl:snRNA U6 U6 spliceosomal RNA
GUACUCACUUCAGCAGCACACAUACUAAAAUUGGAACCAUACAGAAAAGAUUAACACAGGUCCUGAACAAGAAUGACAUACAAACUCUUGGAAUGUUUCAUUUUUUU